GCCGCAGCACCCUCCGCCCCGACCGCAGGGCCCCGCGCGGGCGCCUCCGCCGGCCCGUCUGCCUGUGAGGAAUGGGCACGGUUCGUUAACAUUGCUCUGAAAAAUACCUGCCUCUUGCUGUUAUUAGGAGCCUCAAAAAUAUCCCAGAGGCAGAGGAGCUAACUAAACUUUUAUUCGAAUAAAAGGCAGAUUUCACUGUCCAGUCCCCAGUGAGGUCUCUCAAUUUAAUGAAGGUCACAGCCUCUUUUAUCCCCUUGUCCGAUAUGUCCGUCCCCAUUUCCUCGCUGACUGAGGUAUUAUGGGUUACAGCCUUCUCGACGCCUACUAUGUGUCCCCCAUUCCAUGAUCCCCUUGUUUCUGGGCAAACUGCACCUUUCUAUAACUCAAAACUGAACAACCAGUAACCUGUCACUUCCCGCCACCAAAUGCAGCCACGCUGCAGACUUUGCAAGAGCAUCUGUUUAUUCCUAAUAACACCCACAUCAGACCUGCGCUGCCAGGGACUGUUGACAGGCACUGACCUGCCCAAAGAUCCAAAGAGUGAUCCAAGUGAGCAGCGGGGCCGCAGGGAUGGAGCUCGUGUGCGGAUCCGAUGGGCUGUGACGGGUUUAAGUGACGCCCAGGGAACACACUUGGAAUCGCCCACCUUCCUGGCAAAACCCCAGUGCUCUGCGGCCUCUGGAUUAUUGAAAACUACAAGUGGAAAUAAUUUGGGUUUCAUUAUUAUUCUCAGCUUGCUGAAGAUACAGCUCGGCCGGUUUUAUAGAGAUUAACGCCUGAGUCAACAAGGGAGUCGUGUGUGUGAUUAACUUGCCAAGAAAGGUUAAUAAUGAUGCCGAAUUAGCAGAAGAUCGGAAGAGGGAGGACAUGAACAAGUUUCUGCCAGAGAUGAGCCACGCUCUCCACUGAAUGUUUUCACAAGUCCCAGUGUCUUAAUAAAAGAGCGAGUAUCAGAUGUUCACCCUCAUGUUCAGAAUCCCAUUAGCUCAUUUUAAUUUGGACCAAUUUUGUUGUGUCGUAGCAAGUUAUUGCUUAAAUUCAUACCAAUAUCACCAGUAGGUCUCCAAUUGUUAAAGACUUGGACUGUAAAAUAAACUCCCCCCUCCAAAAAAACCCCCCUCUAUAGUGGCUUACAGUUGGCAAUACUUUUGCAAAAAGUGAAGGUAAGGCUUGAAUAUUUGAAAAGCCAGGAAGCCAUUGUUUCAUGAGGGUCAGCAAUUUUGACAUUUCAGAAACAGUGUAAGAAGAUGUAAACAUGUUCUUGCAUUAAACAGUGAUUGAAAGGUU